UACCAGCACCCCGAGUGGUCGGGACGAUUAUUGGCCUAAAGCAUCCGUAGCCGGUUUUACAAGUCCUCCGUUAAAUCCAGCUGCUUAACAGAUGGGCUGCGGAGGAUACUAUAAGACUAGGAGGCAGGAGAGGCAAGCGGUACUCAGUGGGUAGGGGUAAAAUCCGUUGAUCCAUUGAAGACCACCAGUGGCGAAGGCGGCUUGCCAGAAUGCGCUCGACGGUGAGGGAUGAAAGCUGGGGGAGCAACCGG
rnacentral:rRNA from 1 species